rnacentral:misc_RNA from 1 species
GAUGAAGAACGCAGCGAAAUGCGAUAAGUAAUGUGAAUUGCAGAAUUCAGUGAAUCAUCGAAUCUUUGAACGCACCUUGCACCCUUUGGAAUUCCAAAGGGUAUGCUCGUUUGAGUGUCAUUGUACUCUCACACUCUCCGAUCCUUUGGAUUUGGGGAGCGGUGGACUUGGGUGUUUGCUGCUUUCAUUGUGGCUCACCUCAAAUGUGUCAGUGCAACUCUUGGUUGGACAUAGUACGGCGUGAUAAGUGUCUUCGCCGGCGCCUCUGUAAGGAGGGUGGCCGAUCGGGAGCUCUGUGCUUCAAACCGUCUUCGGACAAUCUUUGACAACUUGACCUCAAAUCGAGUAGGACUACCCGCUGAACUUAAGCAUAUCAAUAAGCGGAGGA